rnacentral:misc_RNA from 1 species
AAGUCGUAACAAGGUUUCCGUAGGUGAACCUGCGGAAGGAUCAUUACUGAAAAACUACUUUUAGUUUUUUCACAUCCCAUUGUUUACCUACCCUGUUGCUUCCACUGGACUGGUCUCACCUUAAGUGAAGUGAGCCCUUUGGCUUGUUGUGUAAUAGCACUUGCCACGGAGUUGCCAGUGGCAAGACUCUAUCAAAAAACUUGAUGAAAAAACAAUUGUCUGAUUCUUUUUCCAAAUGAAAUAAAACUUUCAACAACGGAUCUCUAGGCUCUU